rnacentral:rRNA from 1 species
UACGUAGGGGCCAAGCGUUGUCCGGAUUUAUUGGGCGUAAAGAGCUCGUAGGCGGUUCGGCAAGUCAGCUGUGAAAUCUCCACGCUCAACGUGGAGGGGUCAGCUGAUACUGCUGUGACUUGAGUCCGGUAGGGGAGUGUGGAAUUCCCGGUGUAGCGGUGAAAUGCGCAGAUAUCGGGAGGAACACCAGUAGCGAAGGCGGCACUCUGGGCAGUAACUGACGCUGAGGAGCGAAAGCGUGGGGAGCGAACAGG